GUGCUGCAUCAAGUUUUUUCUCCUCAUGGAUUUGUGGAGAAGAUCGUCACAUUUCAGAAGUCGGCUGGUUUUCAAGCCCUUAUCCAGUAUCAGUUACGGCAGAGUGCUGUUGCAGCUAGGACUUCUCUUCAGGGACGCAACAUUUAUGACGGUUGCUGUCAGCUGGACAUUCAGUUUUCAAACUUGGAUGAGUUGCAAGUGAACUACAAUAAUGAUCGAUCAAGGGAUUUCACUAAUCCAAAUCUACCUUCUGAACAGAAAGGCAGAUCUUCACAACCGCUUCACAAGCUGGAUAUGGUGAUGUAGGAGUUGCAUAUCCACAGAUGGCCAAUGCAACUGCAAUUGCUGCUGCCUUUGGUGGAGGCUUGCCUCCUGGAAUUAGUGGGACAAAUGAUAGGUGUACAGUGCUUGUAUCAAAUUUAAAUCCCGAUCGAGUGGAUGAGGAUAAGCUUUUUAACCUGUUUUCUCUCUACGGAAACAUUGUGAGGAUUAAGUUUCUCCGCAAUAAACCAGAUCAUGCACUUGUUCAGAUGGGGGAUGGUUUUCAGGCUGAAUUAGCAGUGCAUUUUUUGAAGGGCGCUAUGCUUUUUGGUAAGCGAUUGGAAGUCAAUUUUUCAAAGCAUCCAAACAUAACUCAAGG
rnacentral:misc_RNA from 1 species